AUUGAACGCUGGCGGCAGGCCUAACACAUGCAAGUCGAGCGAGCGGCGGACGGGUGAGUAAUGUUUGGGGACUGCCAGUUAGAGGGGGAUACCUACUGGAAACGGUGGCUAAUACCGCAUACUAUCGGAUAACCCAUAUGGGAUUAGCUAGUAGGUGGGGUAAAGGCUCACCUAGGCGACGAUCUGUAGCUGGUCUGAGAGGAUGACCAGCCACACUGGGACUGGGACACGGCCCAGACUCCGACGGAGGCAGAAGUGGGGAAUAUUGGACAAUGGGUGAAAGCCUGAUGCAGCCAUGCCGCGUGGAUGAAGAAGGCCUGAGGGUUGUAAAGUACUUUCAGCGGGGAGGCGGUACCUGCAGAAGAAGCACCGGCUAACUCCGUGCCAGCAGCCGCGGUAAUAC
rnacentral:rRNA from 1 species